UAUAUCUCAGACAGUAAAGCAGAGAGACAGACAGAGCCUGUGCUCCUGAAUACAUUGUUAAGCUGCUGACUCAACCAGCCCCAAAAGCCGGAGCGGCUCCGGAAAUGCUUCCUGUUAUGUUGCUGUGUCUUUCCCUCGAGGCCUUGCUGAUUAUGUUGAAUUGAGAAAAGCACAAGCUUUUCCAGCCCAGAUGGUCUGGUGUGUGAAUCAUGACUCAGCCACCUAUAAGCUGUGCAUUCAGAUGGGGAAACAGACGCAGAGAAGCUGAUGUGGCUUGCCUAAGGACCUAUGCUAGCUAUGGCGG